GACGUAGGGCGCGAGCGUUGUCCGGAUUUAUUGGGCGUAAAGAGCUCGUAGGCGGCUUGUCGCGUCGAAUGUGAAAUCCUGCGGCUCAACUGCAGGCUUGCAUUCGAUACGGGCAGGCUCGAGUUCGGUAGGGGAGACUGGAAUUCCUGGUGUAGCGGUGAAAUGCGCAGAUAUCAGGAGGAACACCGGUGGCGAAGGCGGGUCUCUGGGCCGAUACUGACGCUGAGGGGCGAAAGCGUGGGGAGCGAACAGG
rnacentral:rRNA from 1 species